UAAUAUUAUAGUACAAUAUUUUGUCAUCAUGAGAAGAAAAUAUUUAUAAAAUAUUAUUAGUCAAAUAAUCAAGCACAAAAAUAUAUUAUCAUUUCGCAAAUGUUGUAUGGGAAGCAAUCUACAUAAUAAGUGUAUGAUGUACUUCACUUGUGUCGUAAGCUAUCCACUAUGAUAUUUUGUGUGAUCUACAAUAUUUGUUGUGACAACCACCAACUAUAAUAUAGGGGCUAGGGUUUAAAGCUUUCACGAAAUCUAUUCCCUUGAAAUAUUUCAUUAAUGUGAAAAAUAAAAAUUUUAAAAAAAUGUCGUAUCAUAUAUAUCUCAAAGCUUGCAGUCAUAAAUAUUUACAGCAAGAGAAAAUCGUAUAAAGUCACUUUAUAUUGUAUCGGAUACUAAUAAAUAAAAGUCAAAAUGCACCGUAACUGAUCAGUGAUUUACUAUAGGUAACCGAUAUUAGUAUUAUACCGUGUGUACCUGAUUUGCAACCAUGAUCAUAAUCAUAAUUUAUUACUUUGUUGAAAUAGUUCACAAAGAGUGAACUUUUCAACUUUGAAAUAUUUCAAAUUCAGAUCCCUAAUAAGGGCGACAUCCGCGGGCGGACAAACUGGAUCGCACACUCAGCAAAUUUAAUGUCAAUAGUGUUGUAUUACGAAACAAAAAUGUUUCCUCUGACACGUCAGUGGAGCUUCCCUUUGCGUGAAAGGGCAGAUGGGAAAAAACAAUGGCCGAGAGACGCGUCAAAGGAUUUACAACUAUUGAUCGAUAUGACUAGUAAUAUAAUUUAUAAAUUAUAUUUUUUUUUGUUUUUUUACGUAACAUGCUUUUUAAUAAAUUAAUAUUCAAUAGAGUUUACCACAAACAUUUUUCUAUAAAUUAUACCUGGGUAUUUGUAAUUUUUUUUCGGGAGAUCGCUUACGACACCGUUACCUAAGAGUCUAAUUGUUUUGUUUUGUUUUAUUUCAAUAUUCAUAUUAUAAGACGGCGAAAUAAUAAAACACACAAAAUCGAAGUUCGACGCGAAUACAAUGCUCGGUAAACACUGUUUAAUUAAUGCUAUUCGUGGCACAGCAUUUUAAAUUUGUUUACAUAAAGUUUAAAACUAAGUCCUACAACAGAAUAAGUAAUGAGUGGUAUUUGACUUAAAGUGCAGCUUUUACACUUCUAUAUUGAAUUCAAACGUGACUUGCCUAUAGUUAAAAUACACUGACAACGAAUGCAGACUGAGUGCAAAAUGAUCUAUAAAACUUGUGUGCCUAAAACUCGAAAAUGUUCAAAAAAAAUUCCGCUCAGUUUGUGAGGUAUAAGAAAAAAAAAAUUAAAUUAAAUUAAAAAGUAAAUUAUUUUCCAAAAUAUUCGUACUUACGUACUGUUUUUUUACUGACUAUUCAAACAGGUAAGUACUCGUAACCGAAAUCGAAAAAGUAAAACAUUAAAAUAAAAAAAAAUGUAAUUCUUCAGACUAAAUCGAUCUAGUUCGUCCGUCACUGUACGCUGAUGAUGUUGAAACAAUAUUCAAAUAAAAUUAUACGACCGAAAAUAAUAUGAAAUGUUCUCAAUUGAUGUUAUCAUUGGAAUAUUUUAUAAUAAUAAAUAAUUUCACAAUGAAAAUAUUAUGAUGUCGGCUCGGAAGAUCGGAAAAAGGUAAGCUCUGUUGGGUACAUCCUCUCUUACAGUACUUAUCGAUAAUCGCAUUUAUUUUAAUCCUCAUUUCGCUGCGAUCGUAUUUAUUUUGUAAAGACUCGAAACACUCGAAACCACGUUAUAAACCGUACUACCCGAUAUUUCUAAGGAUCAACCGUUCCCCUUCGACUACAACCACGGUCGACAUGUCGUCAUUAAAGAUGUCCGCAAAUGAAAAUCAGUUAAUUCUCGAAGGAUGUAAUAUUGUUCCGCGGCUAAUCAAAACUGACUGUUUAUUGUGUAUUAUAAUAACGAUACGAAUACAAACGAUAUAAAUAUUAAAAAGGGUGGACAAGUGGGUACCGCCCUUCUGGUAUCGAUACAACUUUCGAGGAACGUUGUAUUACAAUUUCAAACCCACUGAAAACGUUUAUAUCGACAUUAUUAAUCAUAAAAAUAUUUAUAAGAUUCUAUAAUCUCUCGUGGAUAUAAUUAUUAUUAUUAAAUAGGUCAAAAAAGUAUAAAUCUUUUAGACAUUUUUUGCUACUUAGUUUUUGAGUUCCACCGAAAAACGUAAAAUCAGUUUUGUCAACAAUUGGACUCGUGUAAAAAUUACCAAUUUCUCUUCAUUUUUUUUUUUUUUUAUUAUCCCGACGAUUUUAGAAACUAAUGGGACUUCAAUGCGGACGUCAAAAAUUCAAGGGUUCUUAUCGCUUCAAAGGUCGAAUGACAGAAUGCAAAAAAAAAUUCAAAAAAAAAAUGUAAGUACGCGAUAUCAUUGUAAAACCAAUACAGGUUUACCAGAGACGCUCAGAAUCCAAAAUAUCAUAAAAUUUCAACUGUAGUACAAUACGGUUUACAGUUGUGGGUAAAUAACUGUUAAGUAUAACAUUGGAAAUCAACGACGAAAGACUUUUAUUCCGCGAAAUAAAUUCAUCGAUUGGCAAUAAUUAUUUAUGUUUUUAUUUUAUUUUUUUUUCUAACAAAUAAGCGUAUCGAAAUGUAAACAAUAAUACACAAUACAUAAUAUUAAUUAUUAGUUCUUUGUUGUGAUAUCCACAAGACUACUGCGGUCUUGCGGGUUGCAAUACUUUUGCUGAAUUUUCAAUUCGUUUUAAGGGCAUUGGUUUCAAAAAUAAAAAUAUUACAAUGUUCGGAAGAAAUAAUUGUAUAGCACAAUAUAGGUACUUAAAUUAUUUUUUAGCUUGGCUCUUUUACGAGAGAAAAAUAAUUAAUGUCUGCAAAAGUAAUAAUAUUAGGUCAUGCUCAACAAUAUACCUUUUUGUGAUUCACUGUAAUUUUCUACACGAAGUAGGUAGGUAUCCGCUGUAAAGUUUAUCGACUUCCUCCUACUGUAAACAUAAAUGUCUUUGCCAUCGCAUAAAGCGAUGUGACUAGGCGUACAUAAUAAUAUACCUAAUGUAUAAUUAUGUCAUUAAUGAAUAGUUAAACUAAUCAACGUAAUAAUUCCACGUCACGUUAAAAGGAAAACAAAAAUAUAUAUAAACAAGGUGAGUAUAGG